AUUGAACGCUGGCGGCAGGCUUAACACAUGCAAGUCGAGCGGGGAAAAGUAGCUUGCUACUUGACCUAGCGGCGGACGGGUGAGUAAUGCUUAGGAAUCUGCCUAUUAGUGGGGGACAACAUCUCGAAAGGGAUGCUAAUACCGCAUACGUCCUACGGGAGAAAGCAGGGGACCUUCGGGCCUUGCGCUAAUAGAUGAGCCUAAGUCGGAUUAGCUAGUUGGUGGGGUAAAGGCCUACCAAGGCGACGAUCUGUAGCGGGUCUGAGAGGAUGAUCCGCCACACUGGGACUGAGACACGGCCCAGACUCCUACGGGAGGCAGCAGUGGGGAAUAUUGGACAAUGGGGGGAACCCUGAUCCAGCCAUGCCGCGUGUGUGAAGAAGGCCUUUUGGUUGUAAAGCACUUUAAGCGAGGAGGAGGCUACCGAGAUUAAUACUCUUGGAUAGUGGACGUUACUCGCAGAAUAAGCACCGGCUAACUCUGUGCCAGCAGCCGCAGUAA
rnacentral:rRNA from 1 species